ACGGGUGCGUAACGCGUGGGAAUCUGCCCCUUGGUUCGGAAUAACAGCGAGAAAUUGCUGCUAAUACCGGAUGAUGACGUAAGUCCAAAGAUUUAUCGCCGAGGGAUGAGCCCGCGUAGGAUUAGCUAGUUGGUGUGGUAAAGGCGCACCAAGGCGACGAUCCUUAGCUGGUCUGAGAGGAUGAUCAGCCACACUGGGACUGAGACACGGCCCAGACUCCUACGGGAGGCAGCAGUGGGGAAUAUUGGACAAUGGGCGAAAGCCUGAUCCAGCAAUGCCGCGUGAGUGAUGAAGGCCUUAGGGUUGUAAAGCUCUUUUACCCGGGAUGAUAAUGACAGUACCGGGAGAAUAAGCUCCGGCUAACUCCGUGCCAGCAGCCGCGGUAAUACGGAGGGAGCUAGCGUUAUUCGGAAUUACUGGGCGUAAAGCGCACGUAGGCGGCUUUGUAAGUAAGAGGUGAAAGCCUGGAGCUCAACUCCAGAACUGCCUUUUAGACUGCAUCGCUUGAAUCCAGGAGAGGUGAGUGGAAUUCCGAGUGUAGAGGUG
rnacentral:rRNA from 1 species